AGGUAAGCUACUAAGAGCGAAUGGUGGAUGCCUUGACUGGUAAAGGCGAUGAAGGACGUACUAGACUGCGAUAAGCUACGGGGAGCUGUCAAGAAGCUUUGAUCCGUAGAUUUCCGAAUGGGGCAACCCAAUGUAUAGAGAUAUACAUUACCUAUAUAGGAGCGAACGAGGGGAAUUGAAACAUCUUAGUACCCUCAGGAAAAGAAAUCAAUAGAGAUUGCGUCAGUAGCGGCGAGCGAAAGCGCAAGAGGGCAAACCCAGUGCUUGCACUGGGGGUUGUAGGACUGCAAUGUGCAAGAGGUAAGUUUAGCAGAACAUUCUGGAAAGUAUAACCAUAGAGGGUGAUAGUCCCGUAUGCGAAAAACAAACCUUAGCUAGCAGUAUCCUGAGUAGGGCGGGACACGAGGAAUCCUGUCUGAAUCCGGGUCGACCACGAUCCAACCCUAAAUACUAAUACCAGAUCGAUAGUGCACAAGUACCGUGAGGGAAAGGUGAAAAGAACUGAGGUGAUCAGAGUGAAAUAGAACCUGAAACCAUUUGCUUACAAUCAUUCAGAGCCCUAUGUAGCAAUACAGGGUGAUGGACUGCCUUUUGCAUAAUGAGCCUGCGAGUUGUGGUGUCUGGCAAGGUUAAGCAAACGCGAAGCCGUAGCGAAAGCGAGUCUGAAUAGGGCGCUUAGUCAGAUGCUGCAGACCCGAAACGAAGUGAUCUAUCCAUGAGCAAGUUGAAGCUAGUGUAAGAACUAGUGGAGGACUGAACCCAUAGGCGUUGAAAAGCCCCGGGAUGACUUGUGGAUAGGGGUGAAAGGCCAAUCAAACUUCGUGAUAGCUGGUUCUCUCCGAAAUAUAUUUAGGUAUAGCGUUGUGUCGUAAUAUAAGGGGGUAGAGCACUGAAUGGGCUAGGGCAUACACCAAUGUACCAAACCCUAUCAAACUCCGAAUACCUUAUAUGUAAUCACAGCAGUCAGGCGGCGAGUGAUAAAAUCCGUCGUCAAGAGGGAAACAACCCAGACUACCAGCUAAGGUCCCUAAGUCUUACUUAAGUGGAAAACGAUGUGAAGUUACUUAAACAACCAGGAGGUUGGCUUAGAAGCAGCCAUCCUUUAAAGAAAGCGUAAUAGCUCACUGGUCUAGUGAUUUUGCGCGGAAAAUAUAACGGGGCUAAAGUAAGUACCGAAGCUGUAGACUUAGUUUACUAAGUGGUAGGAGAGCGUUCUAUUUGCGUCGAAGGUAUACCGGUAAGGAGUGCUGGAGCGAAUAGAAGUGAGCAUGCAGGCAUGAGUAGCGAUAAUUAAUGUGAGAAUCAUUAACGCCGUAAACCCAAGGUUUCCUACGCGAUGCUCGUCAUCGUAGGGUUAGUCGGGUCCUAAGUCGAGUCCGAAAGGGGUAGACGAUGGCAAAUUGGUUAAUAUUCCAAUACCAACAUUAGUGUGCGAUGGAAGGACGCUUAGGGCUAAGGGGGCUAGCGGAUGGAAGUGCUAGUCUAAGGUCGUAGGAGGUUAUACAGGCAAAUCCGUAUAACAAUACUCCGAGAACUGAAAGGCUUUUUGAAGUCUUCGGAUGGAUAGAAGAACCCCUGAUGCCGUCGAGCCAAGAAAAGUUUCUAAGUUUAGCUAAUGUUGCCCGUACCGUAAACCGACACAGGUGGGUGGGAUGAGUAUUCUAAGGCGCGUGGAAGAACUCUCUUUAAGGAACUCUGCAAAAUAGCACCGUAUCUUCGGUAUAAGGUGUGGUUAGCUUUGUAUUAGGAUUUACUCCGAAAGCAAGGAAACUUACAACAAAGAGUCCCUCCCGACUGUUUACCAAA
rnacentral:rRNA from 1 species